UUUCUAACCCAUUGCUGCAGUCUUCUCUCUGUCAGACUCUCCCCUUUUCACUCUUUUCAGAACUUUAUUUUAAUAUUUUCUCCCUUGCCAAGACAUUUUAUUAUCAGCAUGGAAUCUAGACAAGGAAUGUGUGAAGCUUAAACAGUUACAGCAAAGAAUCUGGAAAUGCAGAUGCUAUUAAAAAUGUGUUACAUAUAUUGCACAGACCUAUAUGAAUAAAAGAAUCAGGACCAGGCACCUAAGAAAGAAGCAUCCCGGGGAGUACCCUCCACAGCAGAGUGGCAGACAGUCAUAUCCAGAAAUAAAAAUAACACAAAACCA